rnacentral:rRNA from 1 species
UGGGGAAUAUUGCGCAAUGGGGGAAACCCUGACGCAGCAACGCCGCGUGAGUGAUGAAGGUCUUCGGAUUGUAAAACUCUGUCUUCAGGGACGAUAAUGACGGUACCUGAGGAGGAAGCCACGGCUAACUACGUGCCAGCCGCCGCGGUAAUACGUAGGUGGCAAGCGUUGUCCGGAUUUACUGGGCGUAAAGAGUAUGUAGGCGGAUAUUUAAGUCAGAUGUGAAAUUCCCGGGCUUAACCUGGGAGCUGCAUUUGAUACUGGAUAUCUAGAGUGCAGGAGAGGAAAGUGGAAUUCCUAGUGUAGCGGUGAAAUGCGUAGAGAUUAGGAAGAACACCAGUGGCGAAGGCGACUUUCUGGACUGUAACUGACGCUGAGAUACGAAAGCGUGG